UACGUAGGGUGCGAGCGUUAAUCGGAAUUACUGGGCGUAAAGCGUGCGCAGGCGGUGGCUCAAGCCAGGCGUGAAAUCCCCGGGCUUAACCUGGGAAUGGCGUUUGGGACUGGGUCGCUAGAGUGUGGCAGAGGGAGGUGGAAUUCCACGUGUAGCAGUGAAAUGCGUAGAUAUCUGGAGGAACACCGGUGGCGAAGGCGGCAUCCUGGACCAACACUGACACUGAAAAGCGAAAGCCAGGGGAGCAAACGGG
rnacentral:rRNA from 1 species